rnacentral:rRNA from 1 species
UGGGGAAUUUUGGACAAUGGGCGAAAGCCUGAUCCAGCAAUGCCGCGUGUGUGAAGAAGGCCUUCGGGUUGUAAAGCACUUUUGUCCGGAAAGAAAUCCUUGGCUCUAAUACAGUCGGGGGAUGACGGUACCGGAAGAAUAAGCACCGGCUAACUACGUGCCAGCAGCCGCGGUAAUACGUAGGGUGCAAGCGUUAAUCGGAAUUACUGGGCGUAAAGCGUGCGCAGGCGGUUUGCUAAGACCGAUGUGAAAUCCCCGGGCUCAACCUGGGAACUGCAUUGGUGACUGGCAGGCUAGAGUAUGGCAGAGGGGGGUAGAAUUCCACGUGUAGCAGUGAAAUGCGUAGAGAUGUGGAGGAAUACCGAUGGCGAAGGCAGCCCCCUGGGCAAUACUGACGCUCAUGCACGAAAGCGUGGGGAGCAAACAGGAUUAGAUACCCUGGUAGUCCACGCCCUAAACGAUGUCAACUAGUUGUUGGGGAUCAUUUCCUUAGUAACGUAGCUAACGCGUGAAGUUGACCGCCUGGGGAGUACGGUCGCAAGAUUAAAACUCAAAUGAAUUGACGGGGUCAUA